CCGUGCUUCCAGGUCGUUUUCGAUGUUGCGACUUUCGAAUCGUCGAUCGGCUCGGUUAAACUUGAUCUAGAGUAUUUGAAAUAACUAGAAAAUAAAUUUUAUGAUUUUUCGAUAUCAUUUGCCUAGGGAUCAAAGGGGCUCAAAAUCAAUAAUUUUAAUGGCCGUAGUGAGCCGUUUGCAAGUUUAAUGGUGUAGAACAAUCCAAAUCACGUGAAAUUGUGAUAGAAAAUUCUUUAUACUAUAUAAAACAAGAUCAAUAUCUUUGAUCUAAAAUUUUAAUAUCAUAUUAUCACGUUUUUUAAGAUUUUUAUUUUCAGCUGUUGAUUUUGAGCCCUUCGCUCACUAGGCAAAUAAUAUCGAAAAAUCACAUAAUUUAUUUUCUAGGUACUUCAAAUACUCUAGAUCAAGUUUAACGGAGCCGAUCGACAAUUCGAAAGUCGCAACAUGGAAGCGACCU
rnacentral:lncRNA from 1 species